CCAUACCUAACUCAAAUCCAAAAUUCACACCAUCGUCACCGCCGCUGGGAAAUUAAAACUUUUUUUCAGUUUUUUUGGGGGGAACUAGGUAAACUGUAAUCCACCACAUUUAUACCAAGAAAUCUUGGGAAAAUGUGGAAUCUUGCAAAGACCCAUUACGGUUUCUUGAGUUAAAGUGGGAUUUCUUAAUUUUCUUGCAGGUUUGCAUAUAGUGAUGAUAGAAGGGCUUCUAGGUAAGUUUAUUUUGGUUUGAAAGUACAAUUUGAGAGAUGAAUUUCCAUUUUUUAUUCUGACAUAUAUGUACUUUCUUGGUUGUGAAGAUGGUGGCUGCAGUUUCUGAAAAUCCCAAAAUCAUAGCUUCAAGAAGACCUCCAUUAUUGUCUUCCGAAAAAGAUGAUUGUAAUGAGGUUUCAAACAAUCCCAAGAUGCCCAAAUCUAGAAUUGUUUCUUCAAGAUACAUGUCCCCUUCAAGUUCUACGUCCACUUCGUAUUCCUCUUUAGUUUUCUCAUUUUCCUCUUCUUCUGGAAGCUAUCCCUAUCUUUUAGUUUCAAGAAACUUGACCUCGGCGUCAAAGAUUUUGGAUUUUGGAUUUGAGUAGUGUGAGGAAGGGUACUCCAAAGAGGAAGAAGACGGCGAUGGUGCUCCAUUGAGAGGAAAGGGUGACAGGGGAAGAGUUCCCGACAACGGUGGGUGGGGGUGGGGUGUCAAACUUAAAUUUUUGGUACUAACAUAUUUGUGGAUGGAAACCAUCCAAAAGGGGCUUCACCUGCAACGUUUGGAACGGUUAGGGGUGACGACUGCAAUAAAUCAAAGGUUUGAAGAAAGUUUGCUAAUAUUUCAAAAGUUUGAAACUUCUACUGCAAUUUCCCCAUUUAAUCAUUAUAUGCACUCAAAGAACAUGCAAUAUAUUCUGUUAUUACGUGAUAAAGUCAAUGGCAAAGAGCGGGCACAUAUAAUUCUGCUAAGGUAAAUAUCAGUCACACUCAGUGCCGA
rnacentral:lncRNA from 1 species